rnacentral:rRNA from 1 species
AUGGCGCCGACGGCCGACUCCGUCGACCUCAAGGGUCAAAAGAAGGCCAAGAAAUCCAAUUCCAAAGAUGAGAGAAAGCACCGGAAGGAUAAGCAUGAGCGUCCCGCCGCGGACGAAGCGUCUCCCCGCAACGAGGCCAAACGCAAGCACAAGGGCGGGCAGGAGGGCAAGGAGCACGGCAAGAAGCCCAAGAAGGAGAAGAAGGCUGGGGCUGAGGCCGAGGCUAUGGGGGCGGAGGUGAAGCGGGGAGACGAGAAGAUGAAGCGGGCGAUGGAGGACGAGCGGUUCGCGGCGGCGCGGACCGACCCGAGGUUCAGGCCGAUGCGGCGGAAGGAGGCCAAAGUCGCCCUGGACUCGAGGUUCAACGGCAUGCUGACCAACCCGAUGUUCGCUUCGUCGGAGGCGCCGGUGGACAAGCGCGGCAGGCGCCGCAAGAAGGGCGCCAAGGAGAACCCCAUGCUGCAUUACUAUCUCAAACAAGAGGAGGGGGAUGAAAAGGAGAAAGACAAGGAGAAAGUGAAGCUGGUCCAAGAAGAUGAUGACGAUGAGGUGGAAGAAGAGGAUGAGCAAGUUGAAGAGAGUUCUAGUAGCGAUGACGAAGAGGAGGAGGAGGAGGAGGAGGAGGAGGACGAUGACGAGUGCUCUGUCGGCAGUGACAUUGCUCAUUACUUGAUGGCGAGGCAUGAUGAUACACCUAUGAUUGAUAAGGAAACUCAUAGGCUUGCUGUUGUUAACAUGGACUGGGAUCACAUUAAGGCGGUGGACUUGUAUAUGGUGAUGACAUCUUGCAUCCCAAAAGGUGGACGAGUUCUAUCAGUCUCAAUAUAUCCGUCAGAAUUUGGACUGAAGUGCAUGAACAUUGAGACAACUCAAGGCCCGUCUACUCUUCUUGGUAUCCAUGGUGAUAAUGAUGGUGAUGGUGGGGAAGAUGACAAUGAUAAUGGCAAUGACAGUGACAGUGACGAAGAGGAUGACGAAGAAGAUCGUGAGCAUGACUCUGAAGAUGACAAUGAUAAUGACAAUGACGGUGAUGAAGACGAUGACAAUGACAGUGUUGAAGACGGCGACGAAGAAGAUGAGCAUGACUCUGAUUCUGAGAACAACAAGCUGCGUACUUAUGAGCUAAACAGACUGAGGUACUACUAUGCAGUUGUGGUGUGUGAUUCCAGUACAACUGCAAAUCACCUAUACACCACUCUUGAUGGUACCGAGUUCUUGAAAACAGCAAAUGUGUUCGAUUUGCAGUUUAUUUCGGACUCUAUGGAGUUCAAACAUCCUGCUCGCGAUGUGGCUACAGAGGCACCUCCGAAUUACAAGGAGCCUGAUUUUGAGACUCGUGCUUUGCAACAUAGCAAAGUUAAGCUCACAUGGGAUGAUGAUGAGCCAGAGCGUAAGAAGAAACUGAGGCGGAAGUUCAACGAUGAACAGUUAGAUGACCUUGGUGUAUUUUUAGCGAGUGAUAGUGAGUCAGAUGACGAUGUAGAUGAUUCUGGUGACGAGCCUCGACCAAAUGGAGUAGCGAAAAGGAAGUUAACAAAUAAGGAACGGUUGGCUCUUUUACUAGAAGGAGAUAAAUCGGAUGAGGAACAAACUGAUGACCAGGACAUGGAGAUAACAUUCAACACGGAACUUGAGGACCUUAGCAAACGUAUCCUUGAGAGGAAGAGCAGCGAGAAGAAGACUGUCUGGGAGAUGCACCAAGAAAAAAUGAAGGAAAAGCGGAAAGCUAGGAAGAGGUCGUCGAAGGAUGAUGAUGAUGAAGAUGGUGCUGAUGAAGAUGAUGAUUUCUUUGAGGAUGAAAAGUCUGAUGAAGACGUUAAGCCAAUGAAGAAGCAGAAGGUGAAGGCCAAAGGUAAAGAAAAAGGGAAAGGAAAGGACAAGCUCCCAGAGGAACAUUUCGAACCAGAAGCAACUAAAGAAGAGUUGGAGCUCUUGGUUGCUGAUCAGGAUGCAGGCAAUGGUGCAAAGGGCUUUAACAUAAAACGCAAGAGUAAAAAGGGCAAGAAGGGCAAGGAUUCUGUCGAGGACAAACAUCCUCAUAUUGAUCUUAGCAAUGACAAGAGGUUUGAUCCCAUGUUCACGUCUCAUCUGUUUGCGCUGGAUCCUACUGAUCCCCAGUACAAGAGGAGUGCCGACUUCAAACGAAAGCAAGCUGGGAAGAAGGGCGUGCAUGCAGUUACAUUGGAUAGUGAACCACCUGUGGAGGAGUCAUCUCCGGGGAGUACAUUGCCACCUGAUGAUGCAUCGACUAGGAACAUCAAGCAGAAACAUGCUGGGGCGUCCACGGAGAAGCUACAAAUGUUAUCUGCUGUUAAGUCUCUCAAAAGGAACCUUACAGCGUUCAAGAAAGGAAGCAGCACGAGUGAACGAUAG